UCCUACGGGAGGCAGCAGUGGGGAAUAUUGCACAAUGGGGGAAACCCUGAUGCAGCGACGCCGCGUGAGUGAAGAAGUAUUUCGGUAUGUAAAGCUCUAUCAGCAGGGAAGAAAUACUGACCUUACGGUCAGCAGACGGUACCUGACUAAGAAGCCCCGGCUAACUACGUGCCAGCAGCCGCGGUAAUACGUAGGGGGCAAGCGUUAUCCGGAUUUACUGGGUGUAAAGGGAGCGCAGACGGUGAGACAAGUCUGAAGUGAAAGCCCGGGGCUCAACCCCGGGACUGCUUUGGAAACUGCCUGAC
rnacentral:rRNA from 1 species